UCAAGUUAUUAAGGGUGCAGGGCGGAUGCCUUGGCACUAGGAGCCGAUGAAGGACGUGAUAAGCUGCGAUAAGCUUCGGGGAGUUGCACGUAAACUUUGAUCCGAAGAUUUCCGAAUGAGGAAACUCACUUAGAGUAAUGUCUAAGUAUCAUUAAGUGAAUACAUAGCUUAAUGAGGGGAACUCAGGGAACUGAAACAUCUAAGUACCUGAAGGAAGAGAAAGAAAUUCGAUUCCGUAAGUAGCGGCGAGCGAACGCGGAUUAGCCCAAACCAAUAAAGUUUUCUUUAUUGGGGUUGCGGACAUAUCAUAACGAAGAGGUAUCGUAAUUGAAGAGGUUUGGAAAGACCCACCACAGAAGGUAAUAGUCCUGUAUGUUAAACGAGAAGACUUCAGAUAUGAUCCAGAGUACCACGGGACACGUGAAACCCUGUGGGAAGCAGGAGGGACCACCCUCCAAGGCUAAAUACUACCUAGUGACCGAUAGCGUAUAGUACCGUGAGGGAAAGGUGAAAAGAACCCCGGGAGGGGAGUGAAAUAGAACCUGAAACCCUGCACUUACAAGCUGUGGAAGCACAUUUCUUGUGUGACCGCGUACUUUUUGUAGAACGGGCCAACGAGUUACGUUAAGUAGCAAGGUUAAGCACUUAAGGUGUGGAGCCGUAGCGAAAGCGAGUUUUAACUGAGCGUUCAGUUACUUGACGUAGACCCGAAACCGGGCGACCUACCCAUGAGCAGGAUGAAGCGAAAGUAAAAUUUCGUGGAGGUCCGAACCCACGAGCGUUGAAAAGCUCGGGGAUGACUUGUGGGUUGCGGUGAAAUUCCAAUCGAGCCCGGAGAUAGCUGGUUCUCCCCGAAAUAGCUUUAGGGCUAGCCUCAAGGUGAGAGAUACGGAGGUAGAGCACUGAAUGUCCUAGGGGGUAUUGCACCUACCGAAGACUAUCAAACUCCGAAUGCCGUCAUCUUAUACUUGGGAGUCAGACUGUGGGUGAUAAGAUUCAUAGUCGAAAGGGCAACAGCCCAGAUCGUCAGCUAAGGUCCCUAAAUGUAAGUUAAGUGGUAAAGGAUGUGGGAUUGCACAGACAACCAGGAUGUUGGCUUAGAAGCAGCCACUCAUUCAAAGAGUGCGUAAUAGCUCACUGGUCGAGUGAUCCUGCGCCGAAGAUUUCCGGGGCUAAAACUUACUACCGAAGCUACGGCAUCAGUAAUGAUGGGUAGGGGAGCUUCCCAUACGGGUUGAAGCAUGACCGUAAGGACAUGUGGACAGUAUGGGAGUGAGAAUGUUGGCAUGAGUAGCGAGAUGUGGGUGAGAAUCCCACAGGCCGUAAACCCAAGGUUUCCAGGGGAAGGUUCGUCCGCCCUGGGUUAGUCGGGACCUAAGCUGAGGCCGAAAGGCGUAGGUGAUGGACAACAGGUUGAUAUUCCUGUACUACCGAUAACCGUUUGAGAGAAGGGAUGACACAGUAGGAUAAGCUAAGCACACUGUUGGUUAUGUGUGCCCAAGCAUUGAGGCAGUCAAAGUAGGCAAAUCCGCUUUGAUAAUGCUGGGAUGUGAUGGGGAGCGAAAUUUAGUAGCGAAGUAGCUGAUUUCACACUGUCAAGAAAAGUCUCUAUCGAGGUUAAAGGUACCCGUACCGCAAACCGACACAGGUGGGUGAGGAGAGUAUCCUAAGGCCAGCGAGAGAACUGUUGUUAAGGAACUCGGCAAAAUGACCCCGUAACUUAGGGAUAAGGGGUGCCACCAUCAGGUGGCCGCAGAGAAUAGGCCCAAGCGACUGUUUACCAAAAACAUAGGUUUCUGCUAAGUCGCAAGACGAUGUAUAGGAGCUGACGCCUGCCCGGUGCUGGAAGGUUAAGGGGAUCUGUUAGAGCAAUCGAAGCAGUGAACUUAAGCCCCAGUAAACGGCGGCCGUAACUAUAACGGUCCUAAGGUAGCGAAAUUCCUUGUCGGGUAAGUUCCGACCCGCACGAAAGGCGUAACGAUUUGGGCACUGUCUCAACAACAGACUCGGUGAAAUUGUAAUUCCGGUGAAGAUGCCGGAUACCUGCGACAGGACGGAAAGACCCCAUGGAGCUUUACUGUAGCUUGACAUUGGGUCUUGGUACUACAUGUACAGGAUAGGUGGGAGGCUUUGAAACCAGGACGCCAGUUUUGGCGGAGCCAUCCUUGGGAUACCACCCUUGUAGUACUGGGACUCUAACCAUAGGCCAUGAAUCUGGUCUUGGGACACUGUCAGGUGGGCAGUUUGACUGGGGCGGUCGCCUCCCAAAAGGUAACGGAGGCGCUCAAAGGUUCUCUCAGUACGGUCGGAAAUCGUACGUAGAGUGUAAAGGCAAAAGAGAGCUUGAUUGCAAGACAUACAGGUCGAGCAAGGAUGAAAAUCGGACUUAGUGAUCCGGUGGUUCUGCGUGGAAGGGCCAUCGCUCAACGGAUAAAAGCUACCCUGGGGAUAACAGGCUUAUCUCCCCCAAGAGUCCACAUCGACGGGGAGGUUUGGCACCUCGAUGUCGGCUCAUCACAUCCUGGGGCUGUAGUAGGUCCCAAGGGUUGGGCUGUUCGCCCAUUAAAGUGGUACGCGAGCUGGGUUCAGAACGUCGUGAGACAGUUCGGUCCCUAUCCGUCGCAGGCGUAGGAAAUUUGAGAAGACCUGUCCUUAGUACGAGAGGACCGGGAUGGACGUACCUCUGGUGUACCAGUUGUUCUGCCAAGGGCAUGGCUGGGUAGCUAUGUACGGAAUGGAUAAGCGCUGAAAGCAUCUAAGCGCGAAGCCAACUUCAAGAUAAGAUUUCCCACCGCAAGGGUAAGACCCCAGAAAGACUAUCUGGUUGAUAGGUCGAAGGUGUAAGUGCAGCAAUGUAUUUAGCUUAUCGAUACUAAUAGGUCGAGGACUUGACCAA
rnacentral:rRNA from 1 species